rfam:Schistosoma haematobium scaffold2013_5, whole genome shotgun sequence.
AUCCAGCUGACGAGUACUGAAUAGGACGAAACGCGUGUCCUGGAU